AACACUUAAAAAGAGAAUCCAAUGGCUAGAAAAUAUAUGAGGAAACAAGUGCAUUGUCCUUGAACAGUCGCAAUCGAGUGGAUAGGAACAAGAUACCAAAGUAAAGGUCAGCGAGAUAAGAGAGCGAUAAAAAAAAGAAGAACACCUACAAGCUUUUACACUAUAUAUGUAAACGUCACAUAAAGUUAAAAAAAAAAAAGAAGGAACAGAAUCUGUGCCUGUGAGAAAUGUUUUUUUUUAAUAAGGCCUGUGAGAAAUGGUACCCACUGACACUUCUUUAGCUCCAACUAAAGCUCAAAGACUAGGACUCGUUUACUCCCAUUUUAGAGCAAGACAUUAUAACUCUAUGAAUCACGCAGCAACAAAG
rnacentral:lncRNA from 1 species